rnacentral:rRNA from 1 species
UACGAAGGGGGCGAGCGUUGUUCGGAUUUACUGGGCGUAAAGGGCGCGCAGGCGGCUAUCCAAGUCAGGCGUGAAAGCCCCGGGCUUAACCUGGGAGGUGCGUCUGGGACUGGGUGGCUAGAGUUCGGGAGAGGAGAGUGGAAUUCCCAGUGUAGAGGUGAAAUUCGUAGAUAUUGGGAAGAACACCCGGGUGGCGAAGGCGGCUCUCUGGACCGAGACUGACGCUGAGGCGCGAAAGCGUGGGGAGCAAACAGG